GCCAUCGUGGGCCAUGGUGGCUGCCCUCCAAAUAUUAGCUGGAAGUAAAAGCAAGAAGGGAGAUGGAGGUUCGAAUCCUCCCAAUGGCA